UGGGGAAUUUUGGACAAUGGGCGAAAGCCUGAUCCAGCAAUGCCGCAUGUGUGAAGAAGGCCUUCGGGUUGUAAAGCACUUUUGUCCGGAAAGAAAUCCUUGGCUCUAAUACAGUCGGGGGAUGACGGUACCGGAAGAAUAAGCACCGGCUAACUACGUGCCAGCAGCCGCGGUAAUACGUAGGGUGCAAGCGUUAAUCGGAAUUACUGGGCGUAAAGCGUGCGCAGGCGGUUUGCUAAGACCGAUGUGAAAUCCCCGGGCUCAACCUGGGAACUGCAUUGGUGACUGGCAGGCUAGAGUAUGGCAGAGGGGGGUAGAAUUCCACGUGUAGCAGUGAAAUGCGUAGAGAUGUGGAGGAAUACCGAUGGCGAAGGCAGCCCCUGGGCCAAUACUGACGCUCAUGCACGAAAGCGUGGGGAGCAAAACAGGAUUAGAUACCCUGGUAGUCCACGCCCUAAACGAUGUCAACUAGUUGUUGGGGAUUCAUUUCCUUAGUAACGUAGCUAACGCGUGAAGUUGACCGCCUGGGGAGUACGGUCGC
rnacentral:rRNA from 1 species